AGAGUUUGAUCCUGGCUCAGAUUGAACGCUGGCGGCAUGCCUUACACAUGCAAGUCGAACGGCAGCACGGGUGCUUGCACCUGGUGGCGAGUGGCGAACGGGUGAGUAAUAUAUCGGAACGUACCUUAUCGUGGGGGAUAACGCAGCGAAAGCUGCGCUAAUACCGCAUACGCCCUGAGGGGGAAAGCGGGGGACCGUAAGGCCUCGCGCGAUUAGAGCGGCCGAUAUCUGAUUAGCUUGUUGGUGGGGUAAAAGCCCACCAAGGCGACGAUCAGUAGCUGGUCUGAGAGGACGAUCAGCCACACUGGGACUGAGACACGGCCCAGACUCCUACGGGAGGCAGCAGUGGGGAAUUUUGGACAAUGGGGGCAACCCUGAUCCAGCAAUGCCGCGUGAGUGAAGAAGGCCUUCGGGUUGUAAAGCUCUUUUGUCAGGGAAGAAACAGCAGCUCUAACACAGUCUGCGAAUGACGGUACCUGAAGAAUAAGCACCGGCUAACUACGUGCCAGCAGCCGCGGUAAUACGUAGGGUGCAAGCGUUAAUCGGAAUUACUGGGCGUANAGCGUGCGCAGGCGGUUAUACAAGACAGGCGUGAAAUCCCCGGG
rnacentral:rRNA from 1 species